GUGCUCCCUUGAGCAAUACACGUACUAAAAUGAAAUUGAUACAGAGAACAUAAUAUGGUUUCUGCACAAGGAUGACAUGCAAAUUUGUGAAGUCUUCCAAGUUUGA
ensembl:snRNA U6 U6 spliceosomal RNA